AAUCCCGCGUAGAAUCUAAAUGAUACGCGCUAUAAAAACAGAAAAGAUAAGAAUGCACCAGCUACGAACACGAUGCAUUUUCUAUCCGAAGACAAUACAUCGCCAGUUCGCGUUCAAAGUCGGAAAUAACGAGUCGCAUGGUAGGAGCAUUGAGCGUCACUCUUCCGAGAAGAAUGAUAAAGAACGAUUAGAGGCGAGAAAUCCUUAAGUGAUCAAGAUACGGUAAAACCGUAGUUAACGACGUAAAAGGAUGCAACGAUGUCGCGUCCACGAGAGUUUACGUUAUCUAUUUUAACUUGCCUCGUCACUGGUGCAAUUUAAACAAUCAUUUUCAGACGUAACAACGUUGCGCGAAUCGUUCUUUGAAAAAUAUGCGAGAUAGCGGAUCCUCUCGAUGGAGAAGUGCCUUUCUACGAACAAGGAUCACGUUGAUUACAAAAAGUGCGGUAAGAGAAUUAUUAAAUAAAAUAUUUCGCUCGAUGAGAGGUUCGAGGGAAGAGGCGACUAUGGUUACCAUGCGAAGGCUACAUGGCUACAGGAAUGAGGGGGCAGCAGGUACCACACACCACACCGCGUGGAACAGUGCAUAAUCGUCGAGUUCCUUGCAAACGAUGGGUUGCAGCCGUUUUAAACGCGUUUCAAAGACAGUCUUGCGUAAUUAGUUUUGAGAAAAGUUGGUAUAAAGUAACUGGUACGAACCACUCGACUGUUACACGUAGAAAUUAAUUCUGUGCCUUUAUGGUUUAAGCAGAAAUACUUUCAAGUCGUUUUGUUAUGUUAGAGUACCAACCUUAAGCUAAUCUACAUUACAAUGAACUUAAAUAAUAACCUAUGCGAGUCUUAACUUAAUAACCAUUACAGUGCAAGACGAUCCUCAUAUCUAUACAUAUGUACGACGUGUAAUAGUCAUCAAAUUUCACCUUUUGUUGUUCUUCUAAUGGACUGUAAGUGUAAUGGACUGUAAAAGUCUCAACCUGAUGGCUAUUAGACGCAAUAUAUUAUUGGGUUGUCCGGAAAGUUCGUGCCUAUUUUUAAGAAAAAUUCAAAGGCAUAUUUGAAUUUUGAUUUAUAUUUAUUGAAUUAUAUAUGUACCAUUUUCUUCUACAACCUUUCCACCUGUUAAGGAAUGUACACAUAUUUGUUUAUUCUUACUCUUCUACAGUUAUUGCAACUACUCGUCGUACUUGUAAUCUGUCGAGCAAACUUCGUUGGCUAAUGAACUUCGAACGUCUAGAUAAAUUGUAAUGGCCACCAGGUCGAGACAUAGGUUAUCUACUCUACCUAUAUAGAGGCGGAUCCGUGGAAAUUAAGUCGCGAACUCGGAAGAUUUGUAUUAUUUUAUCUCGCGAGAGAGAAGCGACUCCUCAAUUUAGCCAAGCGUUGUUGGUAAAAUUGUUAAACGAAGGCGAGGAAAAAGCAUGGCGUGGAAGUAAAUUAUCUGAAAAAACUGAAUUCAACGCAUUCUAUCGUACAAUCUACCGUCACCCGGAGAGAAUGACAAAGAGCUGCAAAUAUAGCCACCUUUAGUUACGCGGAGGGAAUUUCUCUUCCAUCAAGACGAGUCGAGACAGCGGUGCGCCAAAGAAACAUCCCGAGAUGCGGCGAGACUGCAAUUUGGAAAUCAUGCAUCGUUGCCCUGUUAAAUUUGCAAUUUUUUUUUUUAACGCUUUUUUAUUUUAACGCAAACUUACAAGGACAGAUGGAAGCGCGAGGUGCGAUGGCGACGACAAUGAAAACGCACUUAAAGCACGUUUAAUUGGACGAUACACAUUUGUUAAAAUAUUCUCUUUGUAUAGUUGAAAGCACAGAAUGAAUUCCCAAGGAAGCACGACCUACGAAAUUAAUUUAAUAGGCACGAGGAAUUCCGUCCUGCAUAGAAAUGAUGAGAACCGUGUAUAUUGUGCAUGUGAACCGCCUAUGGAAGAAAAAAAGGAAAGAAAAGGAUACGGAGGAAGA